UCCCAGGUGGUCCAGUGGCUAAGACUUUGUGCUUCCAGUGCAGGGGGCCUGGGUUCAAUCCCAGGUCAGGGAA
rnacentral:tRNA from 1 species